rnacentral:lncRNA from 1 species
GACCAGGAAGGCUCAGCUUUGCAGAAACAGAACCAGCCUUCUUGGUUCUGCUGAGCAUUGUGUAGCAGAGCUCUAGACUCUUCAUUUAGCUCUAGUAGACAGCUUAAGAGUUACAGUUCUGAACUCAUCAGUAAUCAUUAUGUCCAUAGUUUGGGAAACGGUUCUAUUACACAGCAGUACUGCUUGAUACUCUUAUGACUCCAGAAAACUCUUAAUUUCACCAUUUAACCACAUCUACAAGGUGGUAUCAUUAGAUUUAAAGUAAUUGUGUGUGUGUUUGUAUGUGUGUGUGUAUGUAGCAGAAAUGCCUUCCAACACACUAGAAGGCAAUUUCUUACUCAGACACCAAGCAGAAAUGGGCUACAUAAAUCCAAUAAAAGCUAGAGAACUAAUGAACUUCCCACCCUCAGGGAAUAGUCUUAGUACCUGAGCUAGACCUCCAGCAUGGACCAGCGUUAUAUCAGGCAUCCAUGAGCAUCCAGGGACCACUAAGCCAUAAAGGGCAAUCACAAAGUAAGGGACGGAAUAGAACAUGUAUGCCAGCAUCUGUGUAAAAAAAAAAGGAAAAGACAAAUUAACAGCUUGACAAAAAAAAAAAAAAACAAAAAAGCAAAAACAUGAAAUAUUUUCAAAGAUAAAAAUGCUAAUUCCUAUUCCCAUUUAAAAUAAGAGAAUUAACUUUAGACAAAUUGUAACUAGUUGACCUGAAUCUUAGGAUAAGCAGCAGGGUCCUUUAGGUAGGGCUCUUGAAACUGCGUGUAGAGUCGGCAGAGCUCAGCUGGGCAAUCCAAAGCAAUCUAAGGACAAAGUGAGAUCAUUAUAAAUAGUCUUGUCUGGUUCUUCGGUUUGCUGAUAAGGCGGUGUGCCAGCUUUAGUCAUAAGCUGCUUCGGUUCUCAACAUAAAUCAUGUGUCUUUAUAGGCUCACCAGUAAAAGGAAAAGGAGAAAUAUGCAAGAAAUGUUCAGACCUCUCUAAGUGGCUAAGCCUACGUUAACAGUGGAGAAGGGCUUUGAGAUGGAUAGUCACAGCUUCUGCACCUAGGUGUAGUGAGCUAAAGCACGGCGGCUGGGGCGGCCAACAAGCCUCUACAGGAAGAAAAGGAAGGCUUCUGUACAAAACUGUACUAUGCUUUGCAAGAUUCAAAGAUAGUAUCCUCCUCUCUCCAGUGCCUCAAAGAGCAUAUGGCCCCUGGAGGCAGUAAGGAUUGCUUUGAAAGCUGGGUCCUGGGCUGGCGAGAUGGCUCAGCAGGUAAGAGUAGUGACUGCUUUUCUGAAGGUCCUGAGUUCAAAUCCCAGCAACUACAUGGUGGCUCACAACCAUCUGUAAUGAGAUCUGACGCCCUCUUCUGGCGCCCUCUUCUAGUGAGUCUGAAGACAGCUACAGUGUACUUAUGUCUAAUAAUAAAUAAAUCUUUGGGCUGGAGCGAGCAGAGGUCCUAAAUACAAUUCCCAACAACCACAUGAAGGCUCAAAACCAUCUAUACAGCUACAGUGUACUCAUAUCCAUAAAAAUAAAUAAAUAAAUCUAUUUAAAAAGAAAAGAAAGCUGGGUCCUCGUGUGAAGCCCCCCUCUGCCCACUUUGUAAAAGGGCGGAGAGCAGAUUGAGCCCUGGCACUGAACACCAGGCCACAGAAGAGUCUUCGGCACAUUCCUGAGACACUUCGCCCUCAGGCACCACUCCUCAUAUCCUUGGCUGCACAUGAAAUUUUCCACCUCGAUGACAAUGUAGAUUACAUGCUGGCAGUGGAUUUGGGCCUCUGCCCAAAUUCUCAUCUGCAAAAGCCCCACCCAGUGUACAAGCACACAUCUCUCUCAGGGGCAAGAGGAAAAGGGCAUGGAAGGAUUCCACUCGUCUCUUAGGUUUGAACUUGGCAAAAAGGUUCUAUGGCGUGUUCUCAACUUGUGCCAACACCAGUGAGUUUAGAAUAAUUGGUAACUGUUGAAGCUGAAUAUGAAUAGCAAAUAAUUCUGAGAUAGAAAGUAUUUCUUCUAAGAAUAAGUUAUAAAGCUGGGUCAGAGUGAAUAAUCACUAAUGAAUUAAGACCAUAACAAUUGUUUAUUGAGUACUUACUAGGUACAAAAAUGAUAAAGGGAAAAGGGAAAAAGAAAACAAAACCAAAAAGCUCGUGAGGCCUUCAUGUUAUCAGACUCCAAACCUGAGCCUACGUCAGCAAUACCCUUAACAGUGAGAAACUCACGGGACCCUGCACAGGUGAGGAUCAGGGACCCCACUCUUGAGAGCACGUGGACACUCUGGACCACAGGUGAAUUGAGGUCUUAGAGGAUCACUCUGACCCAUGAUGGUUGCCUUUACAUCAGAAAGAAAUAAAAAUUUU